rnacentral:rRNA from 16 species
UGGUGGCGAUAGCGAAGAGGUCACACCCGUUCCCAUACCGAACACGGAAGUUAAGCUCUUCAGCGCCGAUGGUAGUCGGGGGUUUCCCCCUGUGAGAGUAGGACGCCGCCAAGCA